rnacentral:lncRNA from 1 species
AUUUGAUUAGGAUUUGAUUAGGAUUUGAUUAAGGUUUGAUUAGAGUUUGAUUUAAGAUUUAGGAUUUGAUUUAGGAUUUAAUUAGGAUUUGAUUUAGGAUUAGAAUUUGCUUAGGAUUUGAUUUAGGGUUAGGAUUUGGUUAGAAUUUAGUUAGGAUUUGAUUUAGGAUUUAAGGUUUGGUUAAGGUUUGGUUUAGAAUUUAAGAUUUGAUUAGGAUUUGUUUUAGAAUUAGGGUUUGAUUUAGGAUUUAGGAUUUAGUUAGGAUUUGGUUUAGGAUUUAUGGUUUGGUUUAGGGUUUAAGGUUUGAUUUAGGAUUUAAGAUUUGGUUAGAAUUUGAUUUAGGAUUUAGGAUUUGAUUAGGGUUUGAUUUAAUAUUCGAUUAGGAUUUGGUUUAGGAUUUAGGAUUUUAUUAGGAUUUGUUUAGGAUUUAAGAUUUAGUUAGUUUUUGGCCUAAAGUUUGAAUAAAGUCCAAUAGGAUUUUAACUAGGAUUAAAUUAAGAUUGAAUUGAGAUUUAUUUGACAUAUAUUUGUGAUCAUUUUAAUAUUUUUUUAAGAUUUCUUAUUAUUU